rnacentral:rRNA from 1 species
GAUGAACGCUGGCGGCGUGCCUAAUACAUGCAAGUCGAGCGAACGGACGAGAAGCUUGCUUCUCUGAUGUUAGCGGCGGACGGGUGAGUAACACGUGGAUAACCUACCUAUAAGACUGGGAUAACUUCGGGAAACCGUAGCUAAUACCGGAUAAUAUUUUGAACCGCAUGGUUCAAAAGUUAAAGACGGUCUUGCUGUCACUUAUAGAUGGAUCCGCGCUGCAUUAGCUAGUUGGUAAGGUAACGGCUUACCAAGGCAACGAUGCAUAGCCGACCUGAGAGGGUGAUCGGCCACACUGGAACUGAGACACGGUCCAGACUCCUACGGGAGGCAGCAGUAGGGAAUCUUCCGCAAUGGGCGAAAGCCUGACGGAGCAACGCCGCGUGAGUGAUGAAGGUCUUCGGAUCGUAAAACUCUGUUAUUGGGGAAGAACAUAUGUGUAAGUAACUGUGCACAUCUUGACGGUACCUAAUCAGAAAGCCACGGCUAACUACGUG